rnacentral:sRNA from 1 species
GCGGGCGAGGCAUUGUAUAGUUGUAUUAUUUCCUUUAUUAGGAAAUAAUACAACUAUACAAUGCAUGCCUCGCCCGC